rnacentral:rRNA from 1 species
UGGGGAAUCUUGCGCAAUGGGCGAAAGCCUGACGCAGCAACGCCGCGUGGGGGAUGAAGGCUCUCGGGUUGUAAACCCCUUUCAGCAGGGACGAAUCAAGACGGUACCUGCAGAAGAAGCCCCGGCUAACUACGUGCCAGCAGCCGCGGUAACACGUAGGGGGCAAGCGUUGUCCGGAUUUAUUGGGCGUAAAGAGCUCGUAGGUGGCUUACCCAGUCGACUGUGAAAGCUCAAGGCUUAACCUUGAAA